rnacentral:rRNA from 1 species
GAUGAACGCUGGCGGCGUGCCUAAUACAUGCAAGUCGAGCGAACAGACGAGGAGCUUGCUCCUCUGACGUUAGCGGCGGACGGGUGAGUAACACGUGGAUAACCUACCUAUAAGACUGGGAUAACUUCGGGAAACCGGAUCUAAUACCGGAUAAUAUAUUGAACCGCAUGGUUCAAUAGUGAAAGACGGUUUUGCUGUCACUUAUAGAUGGAUCCGCGCCGCAUUAGCUAGUUGGUAAGGUAACGGCUUACCAAGGCAACGAUGCGUAGCCGACCUGAGAGGGUGACCGGCCACACUGGAACUGAGACAGGGUCCAGACUCCUACGGGAGGCAGAAGUAGGGAAUUUUCGGCAAUGGGCGAAAGCCUGACGGAGCAACGCCGCGUGAGUGAUGAAGGUCUUCGGAUCGUAAAACUCUGUUAUUAGGGAAGAACAAAUGUGUAAGUAACUAUGCACGUCUUGACGGUACCUAAUCAGAAAGCCACGGCUAACUACGUG